GGACAUGGCUAAAAAGAGUCCAAAUUUAGGACACGGGUACGUGGGUACGUUUUUCAAACUUCAAUUUUGUUUUUUAGAUUUUUUUUUUAUAUUGUCGUAUUUUUUUAGUUAAAAAUGAUGAAUUGAAAUUUUUUUUUUUUAAAAAUGAUUAAUUUUAUUGUUUGAAUAUUUUAUUAAACUAGAAUAUGAUUGGUGUAAAAAUAAUUACAUUAUUAGCCCACUCAUAUCCAUUUCCCAAACUCCAAUUAAAUCCAUCUAUAUCCAAUAUCAAUAUUAUUAGCCCAAUAAAAAUGGCCCAACCUCCAAUUAAAUCCAUCCACAUCCAUAUUAUUAACCCAACCCACUUCCAUAUCAUUAGCUCCAAUCAAAAUGGCCCAACUCCAAUUAAACCCAAGUCUCUUCUUUCAUUCCUGUCUCCGUCUCCCCAUCUUCCAUCUUCCUUCUUCUCCUUAACGAUUCUAGGGUUCCACCGGAAGAUAGCCAGCAGAUUUUGGACCAAAGAUCGCCGGCGGCGGGGCGCUAACCUGCUAUUUCUUUACACAUACCUUCCAUCUCCAUCCAAUAAGGUAAAUUUUCAAAUUUUCUUAAGAUUUCUUGUCGGGUCCGAUUGAAAUUGGAAGAAUCAGACCCGUAUUCCGUACCGGUACCCGUGUCGUGUCGUGUCGACACGGGUACUUCGGCCGAAAUGAAGAGUCCGAGCAUCUAAGGCGAGGACCCAUUGACUGGUAACUUUGAUUUGCUUAGAAUAGUCAAGAAUACCUUUCCAAAGCUAUACACAUCAACACAAGUUCUCCACAAGUAACCUUUUGCGUUCAAAAUGCACAUUCCACCUAAUAUUGUCCUCAAUGGUUGAAGAAGUUUAUAUUGUCGUAUUUUUUUAGUUAAAAAUGAUGAAUUGAAAUUUUUUUUUUUAAAAAUGAUUAAUUUUAUUGUUUGAAUAUUUUAUUAAACUAGAAUAUGAUUGGUGUAAAAAUAAUUACAUUAUUAGUCCACUCAUAUCCAUUUCCCAAACUCCAAUUAAAUCCAUGUAUAUCCAAUAUCAAUAUUAUUAGCCCAAUAAAAAUGGCCCAACCUCCAAUUAAAUCCAUCCACAUCCAUAUUAUUAACC
rnacentral:lncRNA from 1 species